AUCCAAGGUUGUCUGGGUUAGAGUCCCCAGCCUGGGUUUGAGUCCCAGUCCAGGUGUUCGAGUCCCUGGAGAGGUGAUUCUGUGUGGGUAAAAGCAUACAAGAAGACUCUGCUCCAACCGCAGUGGCUGGGACCUUUUGAGAUCCUUCUGGGAAGCCCUACCGCCAUCCAAGUGAAGGAGCUACCUACUUGGAUUCAUCAGACCAGAAUCAAGAGGAGUACUGCUCGGGAACCUGACCUGGUGAAGGGUUCCCCAGAAGCAGACGACGUCGGACUUUGAGGGAGCCAUGCACGUUCACCCCACCGCGAACCAGGUGAGCCAGAAGCAGACAACCUCCGUGCCCAGGAUAUAUGGACUGCUACUCCCUUGGGUGACCUGAGGCUAAAGCUCAAAAAGAAGUAUACUGGUGCCCAUUCUCCAAGGAAUGGCAACGAAUAGUCGCUUGGGGAAUUGGUGGACUCAUUUGUGUAUUGUUUGUUGUUUUUCUUUUUUGGUGGUUAAAUUAACUAAGGGAUACGAACAUAAUGCUUUUAUUCGCUUCGCUCAUGAAAUGAAAGCCUGUAUGCCAGCACUGAAUAAUAUUUCAUGUUGGGUAUGCUCCUUGAUGCCAGUAGAUAGUGACCGAGGUCUUCCCAUGAUCCCCAUACCUCUUAGCCCUAUGAAUAUGACAUGGACUCCUUCCCAGAAAGACUCCUCAGGCUUGCAGAAUCUAACCUGGGCAGAUUCAGGAAUCCCGAUUAAUAGAUAUCUUACGGUGUGGGAGCGACCUGGUGAGUGGUGCUUCCUGGACUCAGGAAAGGUGCCUGUAGGAGUUAGCAAUUUUAAAGCCUAUUUUAAUGGAACCCAUUUUGGUGACAGCCGUGGCCCUAAUUGUACUCUUAUACAAGGGUCACCCCAGCCUGGAAAGUCCUGGUAUGUCUUCCCUGCUAAUUUUUGCAGCCUGUUUAAUCGGCGAGUAUUGGAUAAACCUCAUAGGUUUACCAUUAUAUGUUGUGUUGUAGCAUCAGAUCUAUCGCACACUAACUGCACCGCGGUGCCGGAGUGUUAGGAGAUCAUUCGCAUACACUGCAUAAAAAGGCGUUCUUUUAAUUCUUCGGGUACUGAAUACUCUGUGUGUCAGUGUAUCGAUAAUGCUACUAAUAGUUUUCAUGGUCUCUCUGCCUGGACUGGAUGGUAUUAUAAAUCUCAAUAUACUGCAUUUGUUAUAUCUAAUCCCUUGUUUGGAGUUUAUUGGGUUUGUGGAGAAAAGGCUUAUUUGAGCUUGCCUGUGUCCUGGAAGGGGUCAUGCUAUUUGGCCUGGUUAGAACCCCCUGUCCUAUAUCGAGAUCACCUUCCUUCUGGACAUUUAAGAAAUGUGCGAGAUGCCGGGGAAGAUGUUGCCAGGUCUCGACCCCUUACCCGGAAAGCACUUAAUGAUUGGACAGGAACCUGUGCAGCCCUUUUCUUUGCAUGUGGAGGUGCUACUUACCGUAUAGGGGAGGGUAUAAUGAGAUUACAAGGAGUGUUAGAAACAAUGGCUAACAACACCGGUGAAGCCUUCAUUGAUUUGGCCACCGAGCAAAAACAGAUUAGGCAAAUGGUUCUUCAAAAUAGAAUGGCUUUGGAUAUCUUGUUAGCCUCACAAGGAGGGACAUGUGCCUUAAUAGGACAAGAAUGUUGUGUAUACAUUCCUGAUGUUUAUAACACUACGUGGGAAAGAACAAAACAUCUUGAAAAAAUUGCAAGGGAUCAUGGAGGAAAGCGACCCAGCUGGAACUCCUGGUGGAGUGAUUUGUUUAGCUGGAUGCCUGAUGUCGGUGGAUGGCUAGAUAAUUUGUUUAGAAGUGCUGCUGUUAUUAUUUGUGGAUUUUUGUUGCUUUAUGUAAUAAGGUGCGGCUGCUGUAUGGGAGCUCAGUUAUGUAAAGAAGCCCCCAAGGUUACAAGGCCCAGCCAGGUAGUAAACCCCCGAUAUAUAUAAAUAAAUAUGUGUCCCAAGAGUCCCAUUAUGGUCCUCUAGGGACAAAGGGGGGAUUGUUAGGCCUGAAUAAAGAUAUAGCAGACAAAACCAGGUAUGCCAACCUGACCAAAGUCAGGCUAACAGAGAUUUGUGUGUAAUUCCUGAGUGGAAAAUGCUGAAAAAGCAGCAUGUCUCACAAAGCGCUGGGAAAAAGUGAGAUAAGAGAGAAGCUGCAUUCCUGGCAUAGUGCCAGAUGUGCUGUGUUAGGAGCAGCCCCUU